CCUACGGGCGGCAGCAGUGGGGAAUAUUGGGCAAUGGGCGCAAGCCUGACCCAGCAACGCCGCGUGCAGGAAGAAGGCUUUCGGGUUGUAAACUUCUUUUGUCAGGGACGAAGCACGUGACGGUACCUGACGAAUAAGCCACGGCUAACUACGUGCCAGCAGCAGCGGUAAUACGGAGGUGGCAUGCGUUAUCCGGAUUUACUGGGUGUAAAGGGAGUGUAGGCGGGACGGCAAGUCAGAUGUGAAAACCACGGGCUCAACCUGUGGCCUGCAUUUGAAACUGGAGUUCUUGAGUACUGGGGAGGCAGACGGAAUUCCUAGUGUAGCGGUGAAAUGCGUAGAUAUUAGGAGGAACACCAGUUGCGAAGGCGGUCUGCUGGACAGCAACUGACGCUGAGGCGCGAAAGCGGGGGGAGCAAACAGGAUUAGAUACCCUGGUAGUC
rnacentral:rRNA from 1 species